CAGGGUCUGACGACUGCCCAAACCAAACCGUGAACUCUUUUUACUUAAAAAUGCUUUGGCAGGCCGCUCGCUGGGGGAGCCCUGGACCGCCGCGAGGCGGUUGGCCUGCCGAAGGCAUGCAAACUCAAAAACUACUUGAAAUAGCUUUCUGAAAACCUUUUAUCUCCUCCGGGAGUGAAAAUAAUCA
rnacentral:misc_RNA from 1 species